AGAGUUUGAUCCUGGCUCAGAUUGAACGCUGGCGGCAGGCCUAACACAUGCAAGUCGAGCGGAUGAAGGGAGCUUGCUCCUGGAUUCAGCGGCGGACGGGUGAGUAAUGCCUAGGAAUCUGCCUGGUAGUGGGGGAUAACGUCCGGAAACGGGCGCUAAUACCGCAUACGUCCUGAGGGAGAAAGUGGGGGAUCUUCGGACCUCACGCUAUCAGAUGAGCCUAGGUCGGAUUAGCUAGUUGGUGGGGUAAAGGCCUACCAAGGCGACGAUCCGUAACUGGUCUGAGAGGAUGAUCAGUCACACUGGAACUGAGACACGGUCCAGACUCCUACGGGAGGCAGCAGUGGGGAAUAUUGGACAAUGGGCGAAAGCCUGAUCCAGCCAUGCCGCGUGUGUGAAGAAGGUCUUCGGAUUGUAAAGCACUUUAAGUUGGGAGGAAGGGCAGUAAGUUAAUACCUUGCUGUUUUGACGUUACCAACAGAAUAAGCACCGGCUAACUUCGUGCCAGCAGCCGCGGUAAUACGAAGGGUGCAAGCGUUAAUCGGAAUUACUGGGCGUAAAGCGCGCGUAGGUGGUUCAGCAAGUUGGAUGUGAAAUCCCCGGGCUCAACCUGGGAACUGCAUCCAAAACUACUGAGCUAGAGUACGGUAGAGGGGUGGUGGAAUUUCCUGUGUAGCGGUGAAAUGCGUAGAUAUAGGAAGGGACACCAGUGGCGAAAGCGACCCCUGGACUGAUACUGACACUGAGGUGCGAAAGCG
rnacentral:rRNA from 1 species